AUCACGCUUCCUGGUUCCGGUGGCGGGAUUUGUCUUCGUUGUGCAUGAACACUUCCGGCGCACUUCCACCAUGGCUGAAACAAAGGCGAGAUGUCACUGCUCUCUGUUCCACUUUGUACAUCUAACAAACAACACCAACCCUACUUAAGUUUUCAUGGAUUCCCGACUGAAAUGAGUCUAAGGAAGAAGUGGUUUCAAGCGGUUCGCCGGGAUGAAGGGCCAAACUUUAAAAUAAAACAAGUUAGCACGUUUGUUUGUAGCCGGCACUAGUGAAUCAGACUACAAACGCUACAGCUAGCAACCAACCGGGGUCACACCAAGCGACUGAAAAUCGGGUCUUUACCCUCCCGUUUCCAGUGGAACAACUGGGGACUGCCAAGAAGGGGGUCUGUUUAUAAAAGAGCAUCAACUCGCUUAGGCCAUGACGUUCACCCAUCCCUUCCUCUGGAGCAACCGCUGCCCUGUGAAUAAGAGUCGAUGGAGGAGAUCUCAGCUUCGGUGGUGAUGACAGAACAUGAUUUCGGUUCUGCUCCUAAACCAGGUGCACUGGAUGCUGCUGCUGUAAACAUACAGCAAUUGGAA